rnacentral:rRNA from 1 species
GACGAACGCUGGCGGCGUGCUUAACACAUGCAAGUCGAACGGAAAGGCCCUGCUUUUGUGGGGUGCUCGAGUGGCGAACGGGUGAGUAACACGUGAGUAACCUGCCCUUGACUUUGGGAUAACUUCAGGAAACUGGGGCUAAUACCGGAUAGGAGCUCCUGCUGCAUGGUGGGGGUUGGAAAGUUUCGGCGGUUGGGGAUGGACUCGCGGCUUAUCAGCUUGUUGGUGGGGUAGUGGCUUACCAAGGCUUUGACGGGUAGCCGGCCUGAGAGGGUGACCGGCCACAUUGGGACUGAGAUACGGCCCAGACUCCUACGGGAGGCAGCAGUGGGGAAUAUUGCACAAUGGGCGGAAGCCUGAUGCAGCAACGCCGCGUGCGGGAUGACGGCCUUCGGGUUUUAAACCGCUUUCGCCUGGGACGAAGCGUGAGUGACGGUAAUGGGUAAAGAAGCACGGGCUAACUACGUG